GACGAACGCUGGCGGCGUGCUUAACACAUGCAAGUCGAACGAUGAAGCUGGAGCUUGCUCCGGUGGAUUAGUGGCGAACGGGUGAGUAACACGUGAGUAAUCUGCCCUUGACUCUGGGAUAACUGCGGGAAACUGUAGCUAAUACCGGAUACGACACCUUCGGGCAUCCGAUGGGUGUGGAAAGAAUUUCGGUCAAGGAUGAACUCGCGGCCUAUCAGCUAGUUGGUGAGGUAAUGGCUCACCAAGGCGACGACGGGUAGCCGGCCUGAGAGGGUGACCGGCCACACUGGGACUGGGAUACUGCCCAGACUCCUACGGGAGGCAGCAGUGGGGAAUAUUGCACAAUGGGCGCAAGCCUGAUGCAGCGACGCCGCGUGAGGGAUGACGGCCUUCGGGUUGUAAACCUCUUUCAGCACCGACGAAGCGCAAGUGACGGUAGGUGCAGAAGAAGGACCGGCCAACUACGUGCCAGCCGCCGCCGUAA
rnacentral:rRNA from 1 species